CCAUUAGAUCAGGAGGAUCCACACUUACACCAAACUGCCUUAUUUGGAGAGUCUUGCAAUAAAUCUCCAACAGCUCUUUUCUCUUCAGUUAAGGCACAACCUCAACACCUUGCAGACCAUAAAGAAGAUUCCCAGAAAGCUUACUUACCCCCUCAAACCGUCCAGAUACAAGAAGAACAUCAGCUACAUUCAUUUGGCCAAGAUCUUCACCAUUAAGUCUCCAACGGCUAGUUUUCAUGGAGCCAUCAAUCCCUUUGCUUCCAAGUCUAUUAUUUCGAGUUUAUUACUUUCCUUUUAUCAUUUUAUGACUGUUAGAGUCUGUCUUGGUCGAGCUUAUAAAGCUCUAGUCUUUGCUUCAUUAUAAAUCACCCUUGAAUUUUAUGAAUGAAAAUAUAGUUUUCUAGUUUUCUUAAAACUAUUGUUUCAAGUCUUUAGAGUUUGUGAGAAGCAGCUCCAGAGCAACCAGGCUUAUCAAAGUCUCCUAUCACAGAGCUUUGUGAUUUCUAUUCAAUCCAUCUUGUCCAUCAUCCCACAGAUUGAGAGAUUCAAUCAAACCUUCAUCCGCAAAUCCACUUCAGUCCAUCUUUUGAUCAAGCUGAGAGUGAUACACAUCCAGCAGCUUGAUUCCGCCAUAUCUAUCCUUUAUCUUUUUUUAUUUACUCUGAUUUAUUCUUCAUAUCAUUAGCAUCUCAUACAUACUUCAUUUGUUUCUGAUUUGCUUCAUAGAAGCUCAUAAAACUCAUAAAAAUCUAUCUUCUUUGUUUUCAGGUUGAACCUCAGUUCAUCAAUUCUUAUAGUCUGAUUUCCAGGCUGUAUCACCAAGACUAUAAACCAGUUUCUGAAUCUCAUAAUAAGAAUCAGCAGACAUAUUAUCUUCCGGCAAAUACUCUUUAAGCAAGUCUGCCCAUUCAUUCAUGCAACAUUCAGGUUCUUCAUCUUCAUCAUGAGCUACGAAUGCAUCAGUUACCAUAUCAUGAACCCUAUCAUAAUCUACCAUCUGCUCCUCUUGAUGAACAUCUUACCGGUUUCUUGGGCGAGCGGUGUGGAAUCUGCUUGAUGCAUAAAUGUCUCCAGCCCCGCAAGAAAGAGAAUAGUUUCAUUUUCAGAUUUGAGCGACCGCAUUGAUCACCGACUGUAUUCCAGAAUAGUUUCGGAGGUGGAGACGAUUUGUAAAGACUCUGCUGGUGACAGAUGGAGAAGCAUCGCGGAUUAGGAAAUCUGUAACGACGACGUAACAGGUUGGUGGCAAUGUGACUGAAGUCUUGCCGGUUCGAGUUCACAACAACGUGUUGCGAAGAUAUUUUCAACUAUUAUUAUUAUAAAUGCAAGAUUUAGGCUGUCAAGUAUAUUUUCGGAGCUGGAUUUGAACCGGCCAGUGAAUACAUUCUCAUAUAAUGGUGCGAUGUGUAUCUAAAUGGAAUAGAUCGUCUGCAUGUAAAAUGGAAAGAUUAUACAUGUGAAAUGGAAUGUAUGAUCUUUACUAUUUGUUUUAUGGUAUUCUAUUUGCAGAACAACUAUAAAUAUGAUUUUACAUUGAACAAGCAUGAGUUA